rnacentral:rRNA from 1 species
GCAUAUCAAUAAGCGGAGGAAAAGAAACCAACAGGGAUUGCCUCAGUAACGGCGAGUGAAGCGGCAAAAGCUCAAAUUUGAAAUCCUUCGGGAGUUGUAAUUUGAAGAUUGGCGUGGCUAUCGAGUCUCAAGUCCCUUGGAACAGGGCGCCUUGGAGGGUGAGAGCCCCGUAGAGAUUCACAGCAUUGGCGCUAAAUCGACGAGUCGAGUUGUUUGGGAAUGCAGCUCAAAGUGGGUGGUAAAUUCCAUCUAAAGCUAAAUACCGGCGAGAGACCGAUAGCGAACAAGUACAGUGAUGGAAAGAUGAAAAGCACUUUGAAAAGAGAGUGAAACAGUACGUGAAAUUGUUGAAAGGGAAGGGCUUGCAAGCAGACACGGUUUCGGCCGGGCCAGCAUCGGUUGAUGGGGGUGGAUAAGGCGGCGGGAAUGUAGCUCCUCCAGGAGUAUUAUAUCCCGUCCGAGAUACACCCAUCGUCGACCGAGGCCUGCGAUUCGUUCUAGGAUGCUGGCGUAAUGGUUGCAAGCCGCCCGUCUUGAAACACGGACCAAGGAGUCUAACGUCUAUGCGAGUGUUUGGGUGACUAAAACCCCAGCGCGGAAUGAAAGUAAGAGGUUGGAGCCGUUUGGCGCACAAUCGACCGACCCAGAAGUAUUCGGACGGGUUUGAGUAGGAGCAUAGCUGUUGGGACCCGAAAGAUGGUGAACUAUGCCUGGAUAGGGUGAAGCCAGAGGAAACUCUGGUGGAGGCUCGUAGCGGUUCUGACGUGCAAAUCGAUCGUCGAAUCUGGGUAUAGGGGCGAAAGACUAAUCGAACCAUCUAGUAGCUGGUUCCUGCCGAA